AGUAGCUCAGUCGGUAGAGCGGGUGGCUGUUAACCACUAGGUCAGGGGUUCAAGUCCCUUCU
rnacentral:tRNA from 1 species